GUAUUGAAGUGGAGUAUUCAAGUUUUGAAAUGUUGUCAAGAUUGGGCAACCUAGAGCAGCUAGACCUAAGUUGGAAUCGGUUAAAUAGAAGCAUUCUACCAUAUUUGGGCACACUCUCCUCCCUCAAGAGCCUUGAUCUAAGUUGGAAUAAUUUGGAAGGAUGCUUCCCCUCAAAAGAAUUGGCCAACUUGUGCAAACUAGAGGUUUUGGAUUUGGGAUAUAAUCAACUUAAUGGUUCCCUAUUUCUGCAAGGUAAGAGCACUUGGAUCUUUUCUAAUAGAUGUUGGAGUUGAGUGUCUUUCACAUGCACCUCAAAAUGGCAUUUGAAAAUUCACAUUCUGAGAUGCUUUUCAUGACAUUAUUCAUGCCACCACUAGUAGGAAAAUAUAUUACAUCUUUGUG